CUCUUACCCACUACACCACACUGGCAAGAACAAACCAAACCAAUAACCCCCCCCUUCCCACAAACACAUUUAAAAGGAUAUAGGGUCUUAAUCAGCCAAAGGUCUAGUUGAAGAGGAACAUUUUCACCUGGCAUCUAAAGGUGUACAAUGAAGGUGCCAGGCGAGCCUGCUUAACUCAUGGAUUAGCUACGUGGAAUAGGUACUGGGAGUAAGCUGGAAUGGUAAGUAUCUGGCUGCAAAUUUAUCUAGGAGAUAACUAGGAGUUUCAUAUCACACAUAUGUUGUCCCAUAUAGAUAACCAAACUGCUCUAGGUGAGUUUUCUCACUCUGGGUCACUUACAGAUCACUGAUACAAAUGACUAAGGCUAAACUAAGUUUUUAGCACCUGAGUUUUCAGCAUCUGGAAUCUGUAUCCAUGAAAGGGCCUGUGAACAACUACACGACAGUAGCCAACGUAUGCCCCCCCCCAUUGUGGACUACAAUUCAGUCCAACAUCUCUCAGACCAUUGGCAAUACAAGCUGGGCCUGAUGAGAGUUCAACACCACAACAUCUGGAGAGUGCCACAAUGGCUAUCCCAGAGCUAGCAGGUCAGGAAUGCUAUUGAACAGCAAAUCCUUGAAUUAUUCUACUAGUACAGUGGUACCUUGGUACUCGAACGGCUUGGCUCCUAAACAAAUUGACUCCCAAACGCCACAAACCCAGAAGUGAGUGUUCCGGUUUGCGAACGUUUUGCAGAAGCUGAAUGUCCAACAUGGCUUCCACAGCUUCCGAUUGAGUGCAGGAAGCUCCUGCAGCCAAUCGGAAGCCGCGUCUUGGUUUUUGAGCCAUUUCGGGAGUCGAACGGACUCCCGGAACGGAUUAAGUUCGAGAACCAAGGAACCGUUGUAUAGACACUUAAGGCACUAUGACUGUCCAAGCCAUGCAAAAAAUGAAGCAUUAAAUGUUACUGAAGAUAAGGACAAACCAAAUCAUUUGAUAUAUCUUAUUUUUGCUUCAUUCUAUUUGUUUCCAGCUCUGUCAAGUACCCUAAAUGCACAGGCGUUGGGGCCUUACUUGAAUCAAAGUCAGCUUGUCUUGAGAACUUGAAGAACUCCCCCCCCCCCUCCUUUGAGCAGGCAUGUUUGGCAAGCACGUUUUCUUCCCCAAGAUCACCCAGCUUUAAUUUUAAAUUUCAAAAGCCUUGCAUUUAAUCCCUUGAGUUGGCCUGUUACCUUCCACCAUCUGUUCAAUGGUUUUGUUAUACCAGUGUGCACCUGCAGAGUUUUUGCAACAUUUCAAGCUGACUGCGGACCAAAAAAUUUUUUUUAAUCUAAAUAAUUAUAAUUUUCAUAAACUAAAGACUUCCAUUCAGACACCACAAACUGGCCUGAUGCAUUUGAUUCAUAUAUAUUUAAAAUGCCUGGAUGGGGAAUGUCUGUGUUUCUUAGAGACACAACGUACCUGAUGUUUUUGCUCUAACAGAAAUCAACAACAUGGCACAGC